GCAAGGAACCAUGGUUGGAGAAUUGGGAACAGUAUGGCAGAGUUUAGGCAUCUCAUUCUCAUGUAAUUCAAGGAUCAGUGACCUACAUAUCAAAACGGCACCACUGAUUCUCUUGAGUAUACUAGCCAAUUGGGAAAAACUCCCAAAGACAAGAUACAAAAAUCAUAAACAACACAAAUUCUCCAUUUUUCACUCAUCAUGGAACCCAAAUUUGCUGACAAAACACAAAGCCAAUUAUAUACAAUCCAUGCCGAAGGUAGAAAUG
rnacentral:misc_RNA from 1 species